AUUAAACGCUGGCGGCAUGCCUUACACAUGCAAGUCGAACGGUAGCGCGGGGCAACCUGGCGACGAGUGGCGAACGGGUGAGUAAAGCAUCGGAACGUGCCCUGGAAUGGGGGAUAACGUAGCGAAAGUUACGCUAAUACCGCAUAUUCUGUGAGCAGGAAAGCAGGGGAUCGCAAGACCUUGCGUUCUGGGAGCGGCCGAUGUCGGAUUAGCUAGUUGGUGGGGUAAAAGCCUACCAAGGCGACGAUCCGUAGCGGGUCUGAGAGGAUGAUCCGCCACACUGGGACUGAGACACGGCCCAGACUCCUACGGGAGGCAGCAGUGGGGAAUUUUGGACAAUGGGCGGAAGCCUGAUCCAGCCAUGCCGCGUGAGUGAAGAAGGCCUGGUGUAAGCUCUUCGUGGAGAAUG
rnacentral:rRNA from 1 species